AGAGAGUUAUUGUGCUAAGCACAACAGUCCGUAUGCUCUUAUCUUUCUAACUAUUUUGAUGAGUGAUCAGAGUGACAGAAAAAAGAGAAAAUGAAAUAUCCAAUUUCAUCCCAAUUUCUCUUCUCUCUCUCAUUCUGACCAUCCAUCAAAACUGAUAAAUGGUUAGAAACUUAUAAACACACACUGCUGUACUCCUAAUAGUACAGUAAUCUUAUAU
rnacentral:lncRNA from 1 species